CGUACACUCCUACGGGAGGCAGCAGUGGGGAAUAUUGGACAAUGGGCGCAAGCCUGAUCCAGCCAUGCCGCGUGAGUGAUGAAGGCCCUAGGGUUGUAAAGCUCUUUCACCGGUGAAGAUAAUGACGGUAACCGGAGAAGAAGCCCCGGCUAACUUCGUGCCAGCAGCUGCGGUAAUACGAAGGGGGCUAGCGUUGUUCGGAUUUACGGGGCGUAAAGCGCACGUAGGCGGACUAUUAAGUCAGGGGUGAAAUCCCGGGGCUCAACCCCGGAACUGCCGUUGAUACUGGUAGUCUUGAGUUCGAGAGAGGUGAGUGGAAUUCCGAGUGUAGAGGUGAAAUUCGUAGAUAUUCGGAGGAACACCAGUGGCGAAGGCGGCUCACUGGCUCGAUACUGACGCUGAGGUGCGAAAGCGUGGGGAGCAAACAGGAUUAGAUACCCCUGUAGUCCCAUG
rnacentral:rRNA from 1 species